CGUGCAUGUCUGGCGAGAUUGCAUAAAAAUGUGCCCGCUGUCCUAAGGAUAUUUGGAUUAUGUGAACAGUAAAACAUAUUUCAAAAUCGUACAACUAAGCAAAAACGUAAUGGCUUGUGUCAACAGAUAUAUAAAUAUAAAUACAUUUGGCAUGGGUUUCUCUGGAGUGCUACACUACAGCUUGUUGGAUUUGUGACUCCGGGUUGGUACAGGGAUACGUUUAAGUACAAAGAUGAAAGUGUUAUCAGAAAUUUUGGAGUGUGGUAUUUAGUGAGAUGUAAAAGGGAUACAUGUAUUACGGAACAGCAUCUUGAUAGUGAAUAUUACAUGGAAGGUUUUCAUCCAAACAGACCUUUACAAGUACAAUUGACCAUGGCACUGCUGGCUUGCGUGUUUGCUGUCGGUCUCAUUGUGAAGUCAAGAAAAUGUACUGGUCCAACACUGACGAAACGUCUUGCUGUAACUGCAUACGUUUCUGUAAUAUCAGGUCUUCUGUCCCUUGCCCCAGCGGCAAAUGUUGCAGCGAUCCAUUUCUUUUAUACUGACAGCUACCGGCCGUUUUUGUUUCCAUACUCGGCAUUUCUAAUUGGACUAGGUGGAAUUCUCGCUCUGAUUGUAUCUCUUAUUUCUCUACAUCAGAUACGCUCGACGCAGACGACAAAUGGAUCAGUACUGCAGUCGUCGUCUGCCGAGAGUCAGGACGACUGCAAUAGCACAUUAUUGUAAACUGAUGACAAGAUAAUUACAUUCAUGUUUAAUGAAAACUUUUGCCUCAUUGAUUGAUACAAACAAGAUGCGAAAAUCAAACGAUCUGAUACUAAAAGUGGUGACUUCAUUAUUUUGUAUUAUGUAAACAAAUAAUCUGAUAUGUUCUACAUUAAAUGAAAAACAUACCCUUUAUUAUUGUUAUCAAAUUGUAAAUGUAAAAUGCCAUUAAACCUACUUUUACAAUAA
rnacentral:misc_RNA from 1 species